AUGGUUUUCUGGAAGAACCUGGCCUUGGGCAUUUCUCACAGGAGAGGGAUCAGCUUCCAGCUGCACCCGGCGUCUGCGAGGAGCUUAGAGAGAGGGGGGCAGGGACCCCAAACACCCAUGGACUCUGCCUGGUGGGGGUCAAUGCACCAUGGGGAAACAAUUCUGUCUUUCGACACAUUUACUAAAUGAAACACCAUUUGCUCAGCAGAUGCCCACAUCCUGGAGAUGGUGUUGGAGGAGCCAGAGAAGCAACUUCCUUCUGAAACGUCCGGACUCAGGUCUGACCUUCGGAGCCAGGGAACAACAUCACACAGCUGCUCAGGUGUCGCCUGCCUCCAUCCUCACGGCUGCAUAACGAGCAUCCCCGAGCCGAGGGCCGUGAAGCAGCAGCAACGAUUCAGUCGUGGCCUCUGCAGUUCCCGGGCUGCUUGGCUGGUGGAGCGUGUCAUCUCAGGGUUCCUCACGCGGUGGCGGUCACUGUGGCCGGGUCAUCUCUGGCUUCUCUGCUCCCACAUCUGGAGGCUGAAGCUGGCUUUCACUUGCUGGUGCUGCUG
rnacentral:lncRNA from 1 species